GAUGAACGCUGGCGGCGUGCUUAACACAUGCAAGUCGAACGGGAAACCUUUUAUUGAAGCUUCGGCAGAUUUAGCUGGUUUCUAGUGGCGGACGGGUGAGUAACGCGUGGGUAACCUGCCUUAUACAGGGGGAUAACAACCAGAAAUGGUUGCUAAUACCGCAUAAGCGCACAGGACCGCAUGGUCCGGUGUGAAAAACUCCGGUGGUAUAAGAUGGACCCGCGUUGGAUUAGCUAGUUGGCAGGGUAACGGCCUACCAAGGCGACGAUCCAUAGCCGGCCUGAGAGGGUGCACGGCCACAUUGGGACUGAGACACGGCCCAGACUCCUACGGGAGGCAGCAGUGGGGAAUAUUGCACAAUGGGGGAAACCCUGAUGCAGCGACGCCGCGUGAAGGAAGAAGUAUCUCGGUAUGUAAACUUCUAUCAGCAGGGAAGAUAGUGACGGUACCUGACUAAGAAGCCCCGGCUAACUACGUG
rnacentral:rRNA from 1 species